GCCGCUGUGGUGGAAUUGGCAGACGCGCCAGACUCAAAAUCUGGUGGAGCAAACACUCCGUGUCGGUUCGACCCCGACCAGCGGCA
rnacentral:tRNA from 1 species